rnacentral:rRNA from 1 species
UACGUAGGGCGCAAGCGUUGUCCGGAAUUAUUGGGCGUAAAGAGCUCGUAGGCGGCUUGUCACGUCGGUUGUGAAAGCCCGGGGCUUAACCCCGGGUCUGCAGUCGAUACGGGCAGGCUAGAGUUCGGUAGGGGAGAUCGGAAUUCCUGGUGUAGCGGUGAAAUGCGCAGAUAUCAGGAGGAACACCGGUGGCGAAGGCGGAUCUCUGGGCCGAUACUGACGCUGAGGAGCGAAAGCGUGGGGAGCGAACGGG